AUUAAGACCACCAGUCUGCACCAAAUCCUUGUGCACAAGAAGGGUUUCCAUUGAAUUGCAGGCAGCUGGAUAAUCUACUUUUGCAUCCAAGACAAUGUGCUUAGCCAUUUCCAUAUUGGCGGACUUAUCAACAUAUACAUGACAAAUUCCAUCAGCAUGACCCAGAACUGGGAUUUUAGUUGAUGCUUUGAUUUGAGAAACAAGUUUAUUGCUGCCUCUUGGGAUAACAAGAUCAAUCACAUCAUCAAGCUUAAGCAGAUCAGGAAUUUCCUCUCUUGA
rnacentral:misc_RNA from 1 species